CCGCCCGUCGCUCCUACCGAUUGAAUGAUCUGGUGAAGUGUUCGGAUCGCGGCGACGUGGGCGGUUCGCUGCCCGCGACGUCGCGAGAAGUCCACUGAACCUUAUCAUUUAGAGGAAGGAGAAGUCGUAACAAG
rnacentral:ncRNA from 1 species